GUGGCAGCCGCCGCGGUAAUACGGAGGGUGCGAGCGUUAAUCGGAAUUACUGGGCGUAAAGGGCGCGUAGGCGGUCGCGCAAGUCGGGUGUGAAAGCCCCGGGCUCAACCUGGGAAUUGCAUUCGAUACUGCGUAACUAGAGUCUGGUAGAGGGAAGCGGAAUUCCGCAUGUAGCGGUGAAAUGCGUAGAUAUGCGGAGGAACACCAGUGGCGAAGGCGGCUUCCUGGACCAAGACUGACGCUGAGGCGCGAAAGCGUGGGGAGCAAACAGGAUUAGAUACCCUGGUAGUCCACGCCCUAAACGAUGAGGACUAGACGUUGGGGGGAUAAAACCCUUUAGUGUCGCAGCUAACGCGUGAAGUCCUCCGCCUGGGGAGUACGGCCGCAAGGUUGAAACUUAAAUGAAUUGACGG
rnacentral:rRNA from 1 species